AGACAUGUAGCUCAGUGGUAAAGCACUUGGCUACCAUGCAAGCAGCCUGGAUUCCAUCCCCAGCACCUCAA
rnacentral:tRNA from 1 species